rnacentral:rRNA from 1 species
CCUACGGGGGGCAGCAGUGGGGAAUAUUGGACAAUGGGGGGAACCCUGAUCCAGCCAUGCCGCGUGUGUGAAGAAGGCCCUCGGGUUGUAAAGCACUUUCAGUGAGGAAGAACGCCUGGUGGUUAAUACCCAUCAGGAAAGACAUCACUCACGGAAGAAGCACCGGCUAACUCCGUGCCAGCAGCCGCGGUAAUACGGAGGGUGCGAGCGUUAAUCGGAAUUACUGGGCGUAAAGCGCGCGUAGGUGGCUUGAUAAGCCGGUUGUGAAAGCCCCGGGCUCAACCUGGGAACGGCAUCCGGAACUGUCAAGCUAGAGUGCAGGAGAGGAAGGUAGAAUUCCCGGUGUAGCGGUGAAAUGCGUAGAGAUCGGGAGGAAUACCAGUGGCGAAGGCGGCCUUCUGGACUGACACUGACACUGAGGUGCGAAAGCGUGGGUAGCAAACAGGAUUAGAUACCCGAGUAGUC